CACGUAGGGGGCAAGCGUUGUCCGGAUUUAUUGGGCGUAAAGGGCGCGUAGGCGGCGCAACAAGUCACUUGUGAAAUCUCCGGGCUUAACCCGGAGCGGUCAAGUGAUACUGUCGUGCUAGAGUGCGGAAGGGGCUACUGGAAUUCUCGGUGUAGCGGUGAAAUGCGUAGAUAUCUGGAGGAAUACCGGUGGCGAAGGCGGCAUCCUGGACCGGCAUUGACGCGUGAACAGCGAAAAGCUAGGGGAGCAAACGGGA
rnacentral:rRNA from 1 species